rnacentral:rRNA from 1 species
GACGAACGCUGGCGGCGCGCUUAACACAUGCAAGUCGAACGGAAAGGCCUGCUUUCCCUUGUGGAUUGCGGGUACUCGAGUGGCGAACGGGUGAGUAACACGUGAGUGAUCUGCCCCCAACUUGGGUAUAAGCCUGGGAAACUGGGUCUAAUUCCCGAUAGGACUGCAGGGUGGUGCCUGUGGUGGAAAACGAUUUUCUAGUGGUUGGGGAUGAGCUCGCGGCCUAUCAGCUUGUUGGUGGGGUAAUGGCCUACCAAGGCGGCGACGGGUAGCCGGCCUGAGAGGGUGGACGGCCACAUUGGGACUGAGAUACGGCCCAGACUCCUACGGGAGGCAGCAGUGGGGAAUAGUGCACAAUGGGCGGAAGCCUGAUGCAGCGACGCCGCGUGGGGGAUGACGGCCUUCGGGGUGUAAACUCCUUUCGACCGCGAGGAAGCCACCUGGUGGGAAGGGUGGUGACGGUAGUGGUAGAAGAAACACCGGCUAACUACGU